rnacentral:rRNA from 1 species
UAGUCCACGCCGUAGACGAUGAGUGCCAGCUGUUGGAUCUUCGGAUUCAGUGGCGCAGUUAACGCAUUAAGCACUCCGCCUGGGAAGUACGGUCGCAAGAUUAAAACUCAAAGGAAUUGACGGGGACCCGCACAAGCGGUGGAGCAUGUGGUUUAAUUCGAGGCAACGCGAAGAACCUUACCAGGACUUGACAUCCUUAUCGCGCGCACCAGAGAUGGAGCGCUUCAGCUUGGCUGGAUAAGUGACAGGUGCUGCACGGCUGUCGUCAGCUCGUGUCGUGAGAUGUUGGGUUAAGUCCCGCAACGAGCGCAACCCUCAUCCUUAGUUGCCAGCGGUUCGGCCGGGAACUCUAAGGAAACUGCCGGCGUUAAGCCGGAGGAAGGUGGGGACGACGUCAAGUCAUCAUGGCCCUUAUGUCCUGGGCUACACACGUGCUACAAUGGCAGUGACAAUGGGAUAAUCCAUAAAAGCUGUCUCAGUUCGGAUUGUGGG